rnacentral:rRNA from 1 species
CCUACGGGAGGCAGCAGUCGGGAAUAUUGCUCAAUGGGGGAAACCCUGAAGCAGCAACGCCGCGUGGAGGAUGAAGGUUUUCGGAUUGUAAACUCCUUUUGUUAGAGAAGAUAAUGACGGUAUCUAACGAAUAAGCACCGGCUAACUCCGUGCCAGCAGCCGCGGUAAUCCGGAGGGUGCAAGCGUUACUCGGAAUCACUGGGCGUAACGAGCGCGUAGGCGGGAUAGCAAGUCAGAUGUGAAAUCCUAUGGCUUAACCAUAGAACUGCAUUUGAAACUGUUAUUCUAGAGUAUGGGAGAGGUAGGUGGAAUUCUUGGUGUAGGGGUAAAAUCCGUAGAGAUCAAGAGGAAUACUCAUUGCGAAGGCGACCUGCUAGAACAUAACUGACGCUGAUGCACGAAAGCGUGGGGAGCAAACAGGAUUAGAUACCCUUGUAGUC